rnacentral:rRNA from 1 species
AUGUGGAUGGAGCCGGCGAGCCGCUGUGCCUCCAAGCUGUCAGGCCACCAAGAUGCAGAUGGAGCCCCAGUGCCUCCGAGCUACAGCGAGAGCCGCUCCGCCGCCAAGCUGCAGCCUGAGCCACCGCGAAGAUGGAGCCGUGCUUUCUCUCCGGUACGAGUACAAUGGGGAAAGGGGAACGAAUCCAAUGAAUUGGUCGAUGGAACCAAGACCAGCAGUCAGCCAUGUGGCGAUCUCUGUGUUAUAUCCGCCACGCGUGUGUAUAGGUGUGCAGAGUGUGUGUGGUUUUUGUCACAGUGGCACAGUUGUGAAUUUAUCUUGGUGCUAAUUUGUAGCAUUGUUAUGAUCUGUGAUGUUUUGUCUGAUUAA